AGUCCUGACUUCCUUUGGUGAUGAACAGCAGCAUGGAAGUGAUCACCAUAAAAAAGAAAAAGAAAAGAAAUGAGAAAAGAAACACCUCUGCAAGUGCCAUGAGAAUAUUUUCAGAAUGGUUGAACUAAAGAGAAAAGAUGUACUCUGGAGAAAAGAGGGUCAAAAGCGGGCCACGGGACCCACAGCUCCAAGAAAGUCAGCGCCGGAUGUCUGACCGACCUCAAGAUGUACCCUGAUACCACCAAGUUCCUGCUUCCCCUUGUAGUCGCCAAA